UAGACGACGCUGCAACACACUAUCUAACAAAACUUCCGCCACGGGGAUUGUCUUCCCCGUCAUGAUGUUAUAACACCACGUCCCGCGAUGCAGCGCAAGAAAAGCAACCAACAUGGAUUACCUCAGUAACGGCGAGUGAAGCGGUAACAGCUCAAAUUUGAAAUCUGGCCUCACGGUCCGAAUUGUAAUUUGUAGAGGAUGCUUUUGGCGAGGUGCCUUCCGAGUUCCCUGGAACAGGACGUCAUAGAGGGUGAGAAUCCCGUAUGCGGUCAGGUGCCUACGCUCAUGUGAAACUCCUUCGACGAGUCGAGUUGUUUGGGAAUGCAGCUCAAAAUGGGUGGUAAAUUUCAUCUAAAGCUAAAUAUUGGCCAGAGACCGAUAGCGCACAAGUAGAGUGAUCGAAAGAUGAAAAGCACUUUGGUAAGAGAGUUAAACAGUACGUGAAAUUGUUGAAAGUGAAGCGCUUGCAACCAGACUUGCACGCAGCUAAUCAUCCGGUGUUCUCACCGGUGCACUUGAUUGCGUUCAGGCCAGCAUCGGUUUCGGCGGUGGGAUAAAGGCCUUAGGAAUGUAGCUGCUUUCGGGCAGUGUUAUAGCCUAGGGUGCAAUGCCGCCUGCUGGGACCGAGGACCGCGCUUCGGCUAGGAUGCUGGCGUAAUGGUUGUAAGCGGCCCGUCUUGAAACACGGACCAAGGAGUCUAACAUCUAUGCGAGUGUUUGGGUGUCAAACCCAUACGCGUAAUGAAAGUGAACGGAGGUGAGGACCCUUAAGGGUGCAUCAUCGACCGAUCCUGAUGUUCUCGGAUGGAUUUGA
rnacentral:rRNA from 1 species